CGCGCCCGUAGCUCAACCGGAUAGAGCACCCGCCUUCUAAGCGGGCGGUUACAGGUUCGAUUCCUGUCGGCGGGGCCA
rnacentral:tRNA from 1 species